rnacentral:rRNA from 1 species
GACGGAGGGUGCUAGCGUCUGUUCGGAAUGACUGGGCGUAAAGGGCGCGUAGGCGGCCGCUUGCGUCGGAUGUGAAAGCCCGGGGCUCAACCCCGGAACGGCAUCCGAUACGGGGCGGCUCGAGACCGAGAGAGGUGAGUGGAAUACCCAGUGUAGAGGUGAAAUUCGUAGAUAUUGGGUGGAACACCGGUGGCGAAAGCGGCUCACUGGCUCGGUUCUGACGCUGAGGCGCGAAAGCGUGGGGAGCAAACAGG